GUUUAGCAAAAGAGCAUGAUUUA
rnacentral:piRNA from 1 species